rnacentral:lncRNA from 1 species
UCCUCACCCAUCCAAUGCCAUUUUUCAUUCCACCUCCAUGAAAAUCAAAUUUUUCAUGUGAUUUUUCCUUGUUUUCUUUUUAUUUCUUUUCUUUUCCUAAUCCUUCAUUCUCCUAACUUCUUGGGCACUGAAUUUGCAGCUUCUAACCCCAAUUUUCAGCACAUAUAAACCCUAGGAGAGAUAGAGAAAAAUCUCUCCUUGUUUCUUAUAUUUUCUAUUUCCACUUUACUUUCAACAACUCUAGGAUUUUUGGCUUCAAAUCUUCAUUUUCAAGGUUAAAAGGUAUAUAUUUCCAACUUUUGGAAUUUUUGAAUUUAUGGUUAUAUUUUCAGAUUUAUUCUUUAAUUUCUUCAAAUUAUUUUUCUUGAAAAAAUUAGGUUUUUGGUUGAUCUUCAUGCCUCCAAACGAAAUUUAAAUUGGAGUAGUUGACAAAAUGGGUUUGUGAAUUAGACUAGAAACUUAGGUUAAAUGUUAGGUUAGAGGGUAGAUUGCCUAUUGUAAAUUCAUUAGAAUUAUUAGAUUUAAUUUACAACUUAAUUGAGGUUGUUAUGGUUUAUUGAUAAAUAUAGGUUUUAAUGGUAUUUCGGGACUACUUGGAUUAGGACCUUGUUGGUGCUAGUUUUGUCAGGUGAGUGAACUGCAUUUCAAAAUUUUUUUGGGAAUGUGACUGUUUUGUACAAAACAUUUGAAUGAUUUUAUACAACUUUAUCUUAAAACAAGUACUUUGGGAACAAGCUUUUGCUAAAUGGUUUUAUGUUGUGAUAUGUGGUUGUUAUUGAUUCAUAUACCAUUUCAUUAUGAUGAGAUAUAUAUAUAUAUAUAUAUAUGUUGUGCAUGAUAGUUGAUAUUGUGUAUGAUGACUAUAACUGUGUGUGUGCACGAUGUAGGAGGAUGCACAUGUCGGUGAUGAUGGUGGUGUGGGAGAUGGAUGAUGAUAGUGCCCGUGUGCACGAUGUGGGGGGAUGUACACGAUGGCACUGAUUGUGUACGAUGUGGGGGGAUGCACAUGAUGAUGCC